GCGCUGGGUGGGGCCAGAAGCAGAAGUGGCGUUGCCAUCCUUCGAAAUGGCAGCAGCUGCUGAGGUGGCUGCAGUUGCUCACUUACAGGUCUCACUUUCCGAGAAAAGACAGAUUCUACAAUGUGAGGAAGUAGAGGUUCCUGAACAAGCAGUGUCUUGUCGCUCUUGACCAGAGCUCUUAACAAGAUUCAAAGAAGACCUGGAAAAGUCAUUAAGCAGAUGCUGGAGUUACGGGCCAUUUCCCAAGAGCAGCUGAAAAUGACCAAAUCUCAGAAGACACCUGGCAAGUUGAUGAUGAUACAGAUUGACUCCAGGAAAACUCUGACAGACUGGAUCCCAUGGAGAGGCACCAGGAAUGUGAUGUGUUUGGCAGAAUAUUUCACCUGAGAAAAGACUUUGGUCAAUUUGAUUCAGAUGGAAAAACUUUGAAACAUAAUUUAGAUUUACUUUUCCAGAACAGAAAAAAAGUAAAAAAGCUGACAAGUUAAGUCUACUCAAGCAAUUAUUUUUCCACAGUAUGCACAAAAACACCCAUUCUGGAAUUGUUGUGAAUGUGAUUGUAGAGAAGCUGUAAGUAAGACAUUGUGCCUGAAUAUGAGUCAUAUAGAAAUGAAAUUUUAUAAAUGUAGUGAAUGUCAAAGAUGUUUUAACCAUGUGUUACAAAUCCUUCCAUACCAAGAAGUCACAUAGGAAAGAAACCCUAUGGAUGCAGUGAAUGCAGAAAAUUUUUCUCAUAGAACUCACGGGUCAUGGUACACUAGAGAAUUCGCACAGGGGAG
rnacentral:lncRNA from 1 species